CAGCCGCCGCGGGAAAACGUAGGGUGCGAGCGUUAAUCGGAAUUACUGGGCGUAAAGCGUGCGCAGGCGGUUUUGUAAGACAGGCGUGAAAUCCCCGGGCUCAACCUGGGAAUGGCGCUUGUGACUGCAAAGCUAGAGUGCGGCAGAGGGGGAUGGAAUUCCGCGUGUAGCAGUGAAAUGCGUAGAGAUGUGGAGGAACACCGAUGGCGAAGGCAGCCCCCUGGGCCAAUACUGACGCUCAUGCACGAAAGCGUGGUGAGCAAACAGGAUUAGAUACCCGCGUAGUCCCUGUCUCUUAUAC
rnacentral:rRNA from 1 species